AGUGUUGUAGCUGAUGGUAAAAAGGCAUCAUCUCCGACGGCCUCAUUUCGAUUGCGAUGAGUAAUAUUCAAGGAAAAAGAACCCAAAGGAAAUGGAGAAUUGUGAAACCUUACUGCCGAAGCUAGAGCUGCAGCGCAAGAAAUCCCAGCACACAGCCAACUCCCACCUGCUAAUGCUUCUCUGAAUCACAGAAACCUCUGCUUACUUGAACAAUAAUUAUCGCCGUUAUUCCCUACCGUCAAGGAUAUGGAUUUAUCGUGUUUACCUGCCCUUAAUAAAGCUCCUCUUUUUUUUGCCUACUAUUGUACAAAUCCUUUCUUACUUUGUUGAUGCGACAAUCAGACGUUUUUACAUCUACACUGCCUAAUGUAGAGGAUCGUUGCUGAGGAUGGGUGGAACACAAAAAACUCAAUAUCUGAAUUUGAAACUUUCAAGCUAUUUCACAACGCCAUGGAAUUUUUAAUCUGGGGCACUUCACUUUUUGAAAGUGAUGACUACAAUAAAGCCAAUGCUUUAUAUGUUGCUCAGCUGGAGGGAAAGGAAUGCCUUGCAACAAACACAUUUCAAAUGUAUGGCCAAGCCUUUGUUGAGGUAUAUAUUCCAAAUUCUCACUGGAAAUAGAGAAUGAAACCUGGAGCAAGAUAAUUUACCAUCUCUCCCAUUUCUUUAAUGUUAGACAUCUUACUCUGUUUAUUUGUUUCUGUUCCCCUGGGAAAAAGAAAGGAAUUUAGGGAUCUUUUCCACCUCAGUUUAGCAACCCUAAUAUGCUGGAGUCGCAAUUUAAUACAUUCAGAAUGAGAUGAAGUUAGGGACAAAUUAGUGAAAUAUGCCUUCUGAGAAAGCUGAUGAUAUCUGAUGGCAUCAAGCAGAUGUAGUUAAUUACAGACAUUAAUAAUAAACAAACAUAAGC
rnacentral:lncRNA from 7 species